CUGAGUUUGGCAACAGAGAUUCUAGCCGACUCCAAACCCGGGCUCUUUCCGGUAAAGUAUAUUGUCUCCCACGCAUAGGCACGGUCCCCCCAAAUCUUAAACUCUUUCUGGGAUCAGAUCCUACAUAGCUUCUCCAAUCCUGUCCUUCUGGGGUCAUCUUGACAGGUCGCCAACUGCAAUCACUAUCAUAAAAGGAGUCUGUUUCUUUCUAGGACCAGCAGGUCUCAGCUGCUUGGUUCACCAUGGGAACCUAAGAAUGCAUCCCCUGAAUGCAGAGUUGCCUUCCUCCCAGGCUGCUUCCAAGGAUACACAAAACCCAGCAAAGAUAAAUAGAAGACGUGGAACGUGA
rnacentral:lncRNA from 1 species